rnacentral:ncRNA from 1 species
UAAAGACUCGCCCGAAGUCGAUUAAAGACGGGCACAUUCCGUCGCAGAAAGAGACUGCGGAAUUAUAAGACAAACUAAUUAAAGAAUGUUUAGGAGGAGAAA